rnacentral:ncRNA from 2 species
GGGGAAGCCGGUGCAAUUCCGGCGCUGACCCGCAACCGUGAGCCGUACGCCGCACCCCCGUGAGGGCUUUCGCGGCCGGUGAGCCGGACUGCCC